UUGCUAUAAUUGUCAGCUAAGUGGCGCACGGGUGAGUAAUGUAUAGAUAACCUGCCCUUAAGAAAGGAAUAACAGUUGGAAACGACUGCUAAUGCCCUAUAUGCCUUUAAUACAUAAGUAUGCAAGGGAAACGCUUUAGUGCUUAAGGAUGGGUCUGUAUGGUAUCAGCUUGUUGGUGAGGUAAUGGCUCACCAAGGCUAUGACGCCUAACUGGUUUGAGAGGAUGAUCAGUCACACUGGAACUGAGACACGGUCCAGACUCCUACGGGAGGCAGCAGUGGGGAAUAUUGCACAAUGGACGAAAGUCUGAUGCAGCAACGCCGCGUGGAGGAUGACACAUUUCGGUACGUAAACUCCUUUUAUAUAGGAAGAUAAUGACGGUACUAUAUGAAUAAGCACCGGCUAACUCCGUGCCAGCAGCCGCGGUAAUACGGAGGGUGCAAGCGUUACUCGGAAUCACUGGGCGUAAAGAGCGUGUAGGCGGGUAUAUAAGUCAGAAGUGAAAUCCAAUAGCUCAACUAUUGAACUGCUUUUGAAACUGUAUACCUAGAAUGUGGGAGAGGUAGAUGGAAUUUCUGGUGUAGGGGUAAAAUCCGUAGAGAUCAGAAGGAAUACCGAUUGCGAAGGCGAUCUACUGGAACAUUAUUGACGCUGAGACGCGAAAGCGUGGGGAGCAAACAGGAUUAGAUACCCUGGUAGUCCACGCCCUAAACGAUGUACACUAGUUGUUGUGAGGCUCGACCUUGCAGUAAUGCAGUUAACACAUUAAGUGUACCGCCUGGGGAGUACGGUCGCAAGAUU
rnacentral:rRNA from 1 species